GACGAACGCUGGCGGCGUGCUUAACACAUGCAAGUCGAACGGAAAGGCCUCUUUCGGGGGGUACUCGAGUGGCGAACGGGUGAGUAACACGUGAGUAACCUGCCCUUGACUUUGGGAUAACUUCAGGAAACUGGGGCUAAUACCGGAUAGGAGCUCCUGCUGCAUGGUGGGGGUUGGAAAGUUUCGGCGGUUGGGGAUGGACUCGCGGCUUAUCAGCUUGUUGGUGGGGUAGUGGCUUACCAAGGCUUUGACGGGUAGCCGGCCUGAGAGGGUGACCGGCCACAUUGGGACGGAGAUACGGCCCAGACUCCUACGGGAGGCAGCAGUGGGGAAUAUUGCACAAUGGGUGGAAGCCUGAUGCAGCAACGCCGUGUGCGGGAUGACGGCCUUCGGGUUGUAAACCGCUUUCGCUCAUGACGAAGCUUUGUGUGACGGUAGUGGGUAAAGAAGCACCGGCUAACUACGUG
rnacentral:rRNA from 1 species